CAUGGACGCUGGCGGCAUGGCCUACACAUGCCAGUCGAACGGUAGCACAGAGAGCUUGCUCUCGGGUGACGAGUGGCGGACGGGUGAGUAAUGUCUGGGAAACUGCCUGAUGGAGGGGGAUAACUACUGGAAACGGUAGCUAAUACCGCAUAACGUCGCAAGACCAAAGAGGGGGACCUUCGGGCCUCUUGCCAUCAGAUGUGCCCAGAUGGGAUUAGCUAGUAGGUGGGGUAACGGCUCACCUAGGCGACGAUCCCUAGCUGGUCUGAGAGGAUGACCAGCCACACUGGAACUGAGACACGGUCCAGACUCCUACGGGAGGCAGCAGUGGGGAAUAUUGCACAAUGGGCGCAAGCCUGAUGCAGCCAUGCCGCGUGUAUGAAGAAGGCCUUCGGGUUGUAAAGUACUUUCAGCGGGGAGGAAGGCGAUAAGGUUAAUAACCUUG
rnacentral:rRNA from 1 species